AAUCACCCCACGUUCACACGUCCGCGAAACCCUAAUCAUCGGCUCAUCGCCCAUCUCUCCAUCCCUUCGUCAGGCGGCGCCCUCUCCUCUCCAACCCUAGACACGCGAUCAGCCGGCUCCGGCAAGUCGGCGUUCUGGAGUCCUUUUGUUGCGACGGACGUAAGCGAUGUUUGUUUCCGGCAAGGUCGCCGUACGAAGCCAUGGAAGUAGUACUACAGAUCUGAGAUCUUGAAGUCUUGUUCCUAUGAUGAAGUCCCAUUUAUUCACGUUUCUGUGACCAGUCAACUAUUUGAUAGCCUUUUUGUUUGAUUUCUCUCCACUUGUGUUUGAGAAAAAUAAGAACUAUGCUAUUUGCUUUUGCUGCUACAUAAGUGAGACUAUUUGUUAUAUGUCCGUGCGUGAGACUUUGUUCACUAUCCAUUUAUACAUACAUAUAUCAAAGUUGUGUCUUUCA